UAGUAGAGUCAUGCUGCCGCCACUUCUACACAUGCAGUGGCAUUGCACUAGCCAAGCACAUCACCCAUCAAGAGCCCGGGAUUAUUUAUGAGAAAUCUCCCCCCACUACAAACAGCCUGAAGAAGGGUCCGAAACAUCGCCUGUCGUUUCCCUCACUGAUGCUGCCUGACCCGCCGAGUUACUCCAGUGCUUUGUGUUUCACUCAAGAUUCAUUGUUUCUACACUCAUGUGCUUGCAAUUUUUCUUUAUUUCCCUGUUUUCUACUUAAUUUCUAUAAACAGAUCAAUAUUCCUUGAACAUAAAUCAAUUAUUAAUAAUGACAAUUAUCUCAAUUACAAAUCUAUUGAUUUCUUAUCAAUCCUAUAAAAUACUCAACACUUGUAUGUAUUUGGUAGAACCUGGAAUAUACCGGGUUAUAUCGAAACGGUGGAUCGGUUUCAUGGACUAUUUUCAAAGUUUAAAAGUGACUAACAAUGAGCUAAUGGACUUCCCACUGAAAAUUACUCACGUGCUCAGAAAUCAGAGAUCAACUGUUUGCGAAAUGCGCCCCAGAAUUCGUCUAAAAUCUGACCACUUUUAACAGCCUCUCUGCGAAUUAGAGGGAGAGCACUGUCGGUAUAUAGAAGUGUUUUUAAAUUCGGCAUUGUGGCAAACUCUGAUUGUUAUUUUACCAGUAAAAGAUCAUGAAGUGCAAAUCCGGAUACGUUGGUGAGAGCACUGCCAUUUAGCAACGCGUUUCUCCCAAGAUUAAAAAAAGGGAAGUUUUGUUAUUGACAUAGUUUAUCGUAGGCACUCGACUUGAGAUGUAAUAAUGGAUCACGGUAUAUUUUUGCUUGUUUAAAAGGAAAGUAAGGAUGGCGUGUCUAAAUGGGCUGAUCGCAUCCUGAUUGGGACGAAACCAAACCCAACAUCAAGCAGAUAGAGAGUUGCCAGAGUAUACACGAGAGGGUGUCCAAAUCUACACCAGCCACGAUGCGCAAUUAGUCUCAGAUUUUAACAGAUCGAUAAUACCAUCUAUUAAAGGUAAGUUUUAAUCGAAAAAAUAUUUGGACCUUCGAUCUGCUUCAGACUCUCGUUUUCACGCUGUACCUGCAAGCUGCUGGAAGGAGAUAUGCACAAGUCAGUAAUAGGAUAUCGAUCAUUUGAGCAGCGGCAUCCUCUAUGGGACGAUUUAAACAAUUACCCAGGCUCUCUCCCAGUGCCAAUCAUACCCAGCAAAGAGCUGUUAUUGAACAACUGUAAUUGUUUUUCAAGAUAUGGCCAGCAGUGUAAGUCAUUUUUAUGAUUUCAGUGUAUUUCGCGAUAAGAACAAAAGAGGGAAGAUAUUAAAUUAAUAUGCACUAAUCAUGAGAGAGUCUCAUUUAAAAUGAAACACAAUUGUUUUGUUGUUUCUUAUUCCAAUACGUUUGCAGGGCAGAUGUGGUUAUGUAACUGUCCAAGUGCAGAUACAUUUUCCAUAGGCUGAACCAUCUCUACAUUUAAAAAUAUAUAUAUACACCAAAUAUGUCACGUAUCUGACUCGUACUCUAAUUGAGUUCAGUUUCUACUUUUGACCACGGUAUAAUGUAUUAAAAAAUAGACGCCGUCAAUAAAUGAAGACUUUUUUGCCCAUAAAGUUAGAAUGUUUCUUUUGAAAGCAAUCUGUCAGUUUCAUAAACUCAAUCAUUCCUGACUGUAGGUUGGUUUAGAGGCAUAUAGUUAGAAAGUAGAUAUGUUAAUUAUUCAAUUAACAGCGUUAUUUUUCGUUGGAUAAAUCGGGUACAAUUACAGACUACAAGAGGUACAGAGUAAGAUCUUUAUAGAUUUCAAUAAAGUGCCUGCAAGUGGUCUAAUUUUUUUUUUAAAGUAACUUUGGUACAAUCUGCUGUCGUGGAUUAAAAAUAAGACCGUGCAUCAUUUACUUACCAGAGUCAGUGCCGAUUUGGUUGCUGUUCUUUUCAGCACUCAGCUUUACUGUCUCCUUUAGAGCCUGUUCUGCACUGGAGACUACGGGCAUAUCACUGUUUUCAUUUGGCCCUUUGUCUUGCAGCCCUUGUGCCUGGGAUUUACCUGUAAAUUUUUGGGGGUCGAGGAUAUCUAUGAUGGAGAAGGAUAUCUUGUGAGUAGGGCUCAUCCCUUCCCCACUGUCCGAACACUCGAACAUCGCCCUCUUCCACUUUCGAUACUACCCAGUAGGUACGGCUUGUGUAGCUGUACAGAUAAGACAGCGAUUUUGUCACAAGUUGGCGCACAGAAGAAUUCAGUUUGGAAGUAAAAUAGGUUAUCAAGAGACUCACAGUUCACACCUGACACCACAAUCACUAGCUAAUGCUUUAGGUUGGUGGCCAUCAGUGGACAAAGAAUUGAUCCGUUAUUAGGACUGCUCAUCCGUUUGCCUUUAAAAGCAAAUUGCAAAGCCUCGACAUGAGGUGUAACCUCUGCUCCUGCGCUUGUAUUGUGGGACUCCUCUCCGAGUGUGGAGCUGGUCUGUUGAAUGCUUAGGUUCGUGACAGAGACUAAUAGUAUCGGUGCACGUGGUACAGAGCCCAGAAGCAAAUCUCAGCUAUUAACACUAUAGAGACCUUUGGAUAUGCAUGGACAGGUUCCGUACGCGUGAUUACAAUAAUAGUUAGGCGAACUUCAAAAGAAUUUCCAUUGCCAUUACAAUAGAUGAAAUACAAUGGUGUGUUUUAUUUGCGGUCACUUAAUUUCAGUUCCAGUGAAUAAUGAAUGUGCGCAACCAUGUCAUAUAAAUGCGUAUUAUUGUUGUGGAAUUUUGUUAAUCUAUCUAUAACACGCUAGGGUGGAUAUUUAGUUCUGAAUAUUAUUUAACAAACUACACUCUAAUUGCAAAGGUGUGUAAGUUUAAGCAACGUAAUAAAAUAUUUGCUAUUAAUUAUGUUUUUUAGUUUUAAAGUUCCGUUGUAAAUCAAGAGUGGCGAGCAUGUCUUAAUUAAUUCACUUGCAUACUGGCCGCACUCUUCCAAGUAAAUAUUUCGAAAUUUCGUACUGCUUAUUUAAUCUUGGCACGAUUAAGUUCUGGAGUACGAUAGUCUGCUGCAAGGACAAAAGCCUUGAUGACUAUAUACCUUCUGGGCAAUAAUUGGUGAGCAGUGAGAUUUUAGUUUUGCAAAAUGCCAAAGACGUUAUUCUGCAAUCUACGUGUAGAUUUUCUUUAAGAUAGCAUAGAUGCAUUACAAUAUUUCUUCAGUACUUCAAAUCUAUAAAUGGAUGAAAAUGAAGUGACUCGCCCUGAAGCAAUACAAAUGUUGAUUUAUUUCUGCCACAUAAACUCACAAUGCUUGUAUUUACUGUUCUCUUUAACAUUAUACAUAACUGGAUGUGUAUAUCCGACUAGAAUAAUGUGCUUUCGAAAUAACAUUUAGAACAUUCUUUUAUUAGUAGUUUUUGUUCACGGAUCUCCGUUUCUAUUGAAGUGAAAUGGGUUUACUUUGAAAUAACCUGUGGAUAACGUUUUAAACAUUGAAUAGAAAUGUACUAUAUCCAUUCGAUCCAGCCCAUUUGGGGGCGUCUUGCAAAUCAGCGGAACAAAUUCGUGUUGCACUUUAACCGUCCAUCCGGUACUUCAAUUAUGCUCUUUUGUCCGCUAUAAUUACACGGAUCUUUUUAAAAACAUUAUGUAGAUCAAAUAAUUUGCAUCUGGUAAUACCUCAAGAGGCGUUUCUAGACCGAUGGAAAUGCAGAAAGCUAGAGGAUAUAUCACAUAUCAAUGCUAUUACCAUCCAGCACCCAGCUGCCGUUGCAAAUAAAGUUUAAAUCCAACCUUGCACGCACUUAUGACUAAUUUCUCCACACGUCCAUUGUAUUAAAUGCAGCCACAAAUGUGCCUUUGUACAAUACUGUUAUAAACUUUAAUGUGUAUGUGUUUAUAUAGCUUAAUGUUGUAACGAUAUAUAUAUAUCGGAAGUGACUUAUUUUAACCUUGAUGCAGGCGAUAUUUGGGAAUUGGUCUUUUCAACUCGUGCACCACAAUGGACGAUUCAUAAUCGCAGCGCCACUAAACCGACUAAUAACAUAUCGCUCUAUUACAUCAUUUCCAUCAGACUAUUUCAAUAAUAAGGAUGACAUAUACAUUUUAUUUAGAUUUUAUGUCGUUCUUUCAAGAUGAAGGGGACAUCUAAAGUUCGAGGACUUUAUGAAUAGAAUAUGGAAGCUAGAUAUUCACGCCAGUGCGCGUUCUGCGGCCCAAUGGAAGGAUUGGACUUUGUUGGUGUUUUGCAGCAAUAGGGAAAUAUAAUAUUCUAUUCAAAUAGAAAUCGUAAGUGAAACCAUGAAACAAUCUCACACAGCAGGACUUGCCUAGAACUUCAAGUAUCACGAUAGUUAUUAAGUAAUAACAAUGAAUUAAUUCAGUAAACAUGAAAACCAGACUGCAAUGGUCCAUUGUUUCAUUUUUGUGCUGAUAUUUUCUAGGAUCCUUGGUUCCCGAGUAAUACUUUAAUUGUUUGUUUCCGUAUCGUGUGCCGUAUCGUAUUGUUAAGAUUAGUUUUUUUUAAACAUUUAAAGUUGGGAUAUCCUACUAUUAUGGACAAGCUAGACCAAACAACAAGCCGUUCAUCAAAUUAGCUUUAAUGUACAAUGAAUAACGAUAUUACCACUUUCCUUUUAAAGUCUAUUUCCAGGCUUUAACUGCACAGGUGUGGACUACAUACAGUGGAGGAAAGAACUGCAGGUGCUGGAACACAAAAUGAUGGAGUAAUUCAGCGGGAAUUGCGGUGAAAUGUCCUGCCUUUUGGCAGUUUUAAGUAGCUUUCCCAUGGCAAAGGAUUAGAAUUCAAUGUGAGUGCUGUCUUUAAAUUGCUUUGACGCCAGGUGGGAUUCAGACCUGACCUGUCCUGAUGGCAGCUGAUGGCUUGAAACAAGCUGGAAUCAAUAUUCACAGCGGGUGUCCUCUGCUGAUAAGACUGUCCAAGACAAUGUUCACUAUCAAAGUAGACAGCUGAGAUAUUACACUAUUAAAGAUGUUGUUUAAAAUAACUUGUUCAAUCUCCAAUUCUUACUAAUGAGUUUUACAGUAUAGAUUAUAUCUGCAAGAAGAUAGAACCCUUACAAACAGCAAUAGGCGAACGCUUAGAAAUUACGUUCCGAAGAUUCCAAAAGAAAUAGUUCAGAGGCGAAACGCAUUGUAGUAUGACAUAACUUGGUGAGAAUGAUGCGUGUAGCGAUUCUAUUAGUAGCUGAAUAGUUGCUCGUUGAUUCUAGAUAAAAAUCAUUAGUGGAGAAACGAUAAGAAGCAGUCCUGUUAAUUACCAUAAAAUGAUUGAUUACGUAUUUAUAGAUAA